AUUAUCUCCACUUUCUGGAAAAAAUGUGGCUUUUCCAGAAGAACUGUGAUUUUCUACUUUGAAACAGAGCCAUAAAACUAAAAACACCAUCUCCUCUUCUCUCUUCCAGUCAGCUCCCUUCCUCGGGACAGGAAGGGUCCUGUGCAGGUAGGCCGGAGGGAGAGUAAGGAAGCGUUGACUGAAGGGUUACUAAUGGUAAUGGUAGUCUACUUAAUUAGGGCCGACUCUUCCAUGGAAAAUAACUUCAGCUGAAUAAAACGUUGAAAAAAAAAAAAGCUUUCCAAAGAGCUAAGAGGAGAGUAAAGAAUUAAGGAUCAAACUCUAGGAGAAGCAAGAGACUAAAUCAUAAUCCCAAUGCUCAAAGCUACUUUUGCCUGAAGGCAUUUGCUGGUGGAAAGAGACACCUUUGAAACCCAGCUGUAAGGUUGGUGGACUUGCAGUAUAAGAGAUACAAGUGUAAAUAUGUUGAAAGCUGGGAGUCCCACAGUAUAAGAGAUACAAGUGUAAAUAUGUUGAAAGCUGGGAGGCCACAGGAGGAGCAGCUCCUGUGCCCAAGCUCUUGCCCCCUCCGCACUCUCUCAAAAGGGAAUGAACACCAUGUGGGAGUCCCACAUUUGAACUGGGACCCCAAAUGAAGACACCCUCAAGACUCCCAAAUUCAGCUUGUCUUGGAGGUGUAGAGAUCCUCAGCCUUCAAACACUAUAACUGACCUAGUGGUGCGCUCAGUUGCCUGAUAAAAGCAAAUGAAAAUGAUCCUUUAGAGAAAGACAUUAUCGUCUCAGACAUUAAAGUAUUCACACACACCCUUCUUUUUUUAAAUAAAAUCCAACACAUUCUCAAAGAUAAUCAGACACUCAAGGAAAUAAAUGGUGAAAGAGAACAUGCAGAAAUAAUAGACAACAAAUACACAAACACAUCAGGUAUUGGGAUUAACAGAGUAUAAGAUUGCACUUCUUGAUUUUUUCUUAGUAUUUUUAAAGAGAUGUUGAAAACAUCUAUGAAGGCAAACCUUAAAAAAUUGACAUAGGAGUUUUGAGAAAAUAACCAAAUGGAAUUUUUUUUAAAAAGCUAAAAAAAGAAAAAAACUCCAACAGCUAUAUGUUUGACAGAAAAUUAAAUAUAAAAGAAGAAUUAAUGAACUGAAAUAUAGGUGAGAAUAAAUUGUUCAGAAACUAGUGCACAGAGAAGCACAGAAGACAACCACCUUAAGCUGUUGGGUAGAAAGAUCAAAAUAGAUUUAAUCAGAUUCCCAGAAGAAAAAUACAGAAAAAGGUAUAUGAAAGACGUACUAAGGUACAGAUUCUGGAAACCAAAUGAAAUUCAAAGAGGAUAACUAAAAGUAAGUCCAUGACAAAUACAUCAUGGUGAAAAAGUAGUAUAUAAAAGGUAAAUAAGCCAUUAGAGGAAAAAAACAAAACAACUUCUGACUUCUCAAUAGCGUCUGUGGAACCCCUAUGAAUGGGGAAUGAAAUUUUCAUUGUGCUUAAAGAAUCUGUCAACCUAGAACUCUGUAUAUAGCAAAAUCUUUCAGAAAUGGAGACACAAAUAUAUUUUAUACAACUAAAAACAGUCAAUGGCACCCCACUCCGGUACUCUUGCCUGGAAAACCCCAUAGAUGGAGGAGCCUGGUAGGCUGCAGUCCAUGGGGUCGCUAAGAGUCCAACAGGACUGAGCGACUUCCCUUUCACUUUUCACUUUCAUGCAUUGGAGAAGGAAAUGGCAACCCACUCUAGUGUUCUUGCCUGGAGAAUCCCAGGGAUGGGGGAGCUUGGUGGGAGGCCGUCUAUGGGGUCACACAGAGUUGGACACGACUGAAGCGACUUAGCAGUAGCAAAAACAGUCAAGACUUGCUCUCUGAGUGACCUGUAGCAAACUCUUAAAUGAAGCUACCUGUUAGGAUUUAUGUGAGGAUUGAGUUAAUAUCUGUAACGCGCUUUGCCCUGUGCCGGCUCAUAUUUGGUGUUCUUUAAAAUGUUUGGUUCCCCGGUGAACAAGUCGGGAUUGCGGGGACGCGGCCCUUGUGGGGAACUCUCCCAAAGCGGGUCCCAAUGAGAGCUAGUGCUGCAGGGUCCCGUCCGUCUCCCUUCCCGGACGUCGCAAGCAUGCUUGUGGCCACCAGAGGGCGGUGUCACAUCGCAGAGGGUGCCCUGGAGGCUGCAGAACUUGCACCAGGUGAGCUUGUUGCAGGGAUGCCUGGAUGUGUCUUAACAUCGCUGACGCUGAUCUGCCCUAACGCCAGGUACUCCAGAUCGCCUCCCCUCAGGUGCAUCCCUUGCGGAUAGAGGCCCUGAGAACUGCUGCUGCUGCUAAGUCACUUCAGUCGUGUCCGACUCUGUGCGACCCCAUAAACGGCAGCCCACCAGGCUCCCCAGUCCCUGGGGUUCUCCAGGCAAGAACACUGGAGUGGGUUGCCAUUUCCUUCUCCAAUGCAUGAAAGUGAAAAGUGAAAGUGAAGUCGCUCAGUCUUAUCCGACCCUCAGUGACCCCAUGGACUGCAGCCUUCCAGGCUCCUCCGUCCAUGGGAUUUUCCAGGCAAGAGUACUAGAGUGGGUGCCAUUGCCUUCUCCGGGCCCUGAGAGCUAGUUUCGGGUUAUUUAGAUCCAUGCAAACCCUUAGUUGUGGCAUGUGAAAUCUAGUUCCCUGAUCAGGGAUGGAACCUUGGGCCCCUGCAUUAAGGGAAAAGAGCGUUAACCACUGGACAGUCAGGGAAGUCCAACGGAAGUUUAUUUCUAAAUAUUCAACUAAUGUUGCUUUCAUGGCACACACAG
ensembl:lncRNA